UGUGUGCCCAAAAUCCUGAAAGGAAGAUGGAGGAGAAUGGAGCAGGGCCACAAGCUGGCCUGUGAUUUGGCAGGAAGUCCCAUGAGACGUCAAGGACAGGCGAGUCCAUAUAGAUAGUUCCUAGAUUGGGGGUUGUUUAGGCUGGGGGUUGGAGGGAAGAGCAGAGUGAUGGCUAAAGGGUAUCGGGCAUCCUUUGGGGAUGAUGAAACUCCUAAAGCUGAUUGCAGUGGUGGUUACACAACCCUGUGAGUACACAGAACCACGAGGUGUAUACUUGAAGUGGGUGGGUUUAUGUCAUGUGAGUUAUAUCUUAAUAAGACAGAAGAAUCCUAUGAGAAAGAAAAAGGAGGGGUGACCGCCGUGGUCACAGGUCAGCUCCCACCCCUGGCCUGACUUGGACGGUGUCCUGGUUAACCGCUCGCCUCCUGCUUUGGCCUGAGGAUACUUGCUGUGCCUCUCCCCGCCAUCUAAGCCACUCUCACCCACUGCUUGCUCCCGACACACACACACACACACACACGCCCGCAUGCACAAGUGUUUGCUUGGCCUCUAGCACUUCUGAACAACGUGCUUUGUGCCCUGGAGGAGUGUCGGAGACUAGAACCCUUUCUCAGGACUUCUGAGGGGCUGGCAAAGCCCUGGCCGAGCUACACUGCUGGCGGCAGGUGGCAGAGGGCCUGGGCAGCAGCACCCCAUGAAGAGGUGGUGCGCCAUGCCUUGAUCACUCCCCACACUGUGUGACCCCUGAGGCUGGAGUCAGCCCUGCGUCCUCGGCUGUUCCCCUUCCUGCUGGCACCUGAGAUGGGCUGGGGGUUACCGGAAGGAAAGGCAAGCAGGCACCCAGCACCCCAGGCCUGGCCUCUGCAUGCAGGUCUGUGUACAUCUGCGCGCUCUGCCGCUGCCUCACAGUGCUUUCUUUCUUCAUGCAUCUGCUGAUUGACACAUAGGCUGGGUCCGUGCAUUGCCUGUUACGAAUGGUGCUGUCAUGAACGAGGGGGUCCAGGUAGCCAUGCGACAUACUGAGAUCCUUUCCGUCGGACACACGCCUAGCAGCGAGAUUACUGGAUCACGUGGAGGGUCUACUGUCAGCUUUUGGGCAACUUCCAUACUGUUUUCUUCUCCUUUUUUUAAAAUAAAUAAUUAUUCUAUUUAA